GAGUUUGAUCCUGGCUCAGGACGAACGCUGGCGGCGCGCCUAACACAUGCAAGUCGAGCGAGAACCGGGGCUUCGGCCCCGGGGACAGCGGCGAACGGGUGAGUAACACGUGGAUAACCUGCCCUCGGCACCGGAAUAGCCCGGGGAAACCCGGAUUAAUGCCGGAUGGCCCCACAUCCCUGCGGGGAACGUGGGAAAAGGUAGCUUCGGCCUCUGGCCGAGGAUGGGUCCGCGGUGGAUUAGCUUGUUGGUGGGGUAACGGCUCACCAAGGCGACGAUCCAUAGCUGGUCUGAGAGGACGAUCAGCCACACUGGGACUGAGACACGGCCCAGACUCCUACGGGAGGCAGCAGUGGGGAAUCUUGCGCAAUGGGCGAAAGCCUGACGCAGCGACGCCGCGUGCGGGAAGAAGGCCUUCGGGUUGUAAACCGCUUUCAGGAGGGACGAAGCCACUCGGGUGAACAGCCCAGAGGGUGACGGUACCUCCAGAAGAAGCCCCGGCUAACUACGUGCCAGCAGCCGCGGUAAUACGUAGGGGGCAAGCGUUGUCCGGAUUUAUUGGGCGUAAAGAGCGUGUAGGCGGCCAGGUAGGUCGGUUGUGAAAACUGGAGGCUCAACCUUCAGACGUCGACCGAAACCAUCUGGCUAGAGUCCGGGAGAGGAGAGUGGAAUUCCUGGUGUAGCGGUGAAAUGCGCAGAUAUCAGGAAGAACACCCGUGGCGAAAGCGGCUCUCUGGAACGGUACUGACGCUGAGACGCGAAAGCGUGGGGAGCGAACAGGAUUAGAUACCCUGGUAGUCCACGCCGUAAACGAUGGGCGCUAGGUGUGGGAGGUGUCGACUCCUUCCGUGCCGCAGCUAACGCAUUAAGCGCCCCGCCUGGGGAGUACGGCCGCAAGGCUAAAACUCAAAUGAAUUGACGG
rnacentral:rRNA from 1 species